rnacentral:rRNA from 1 species
UACGUAGGGGGCAAGCGUUGUCCGGAAUCAUUGGGCGUAAGGAGCGUGUAGGCGGCCAGAUAAGUCCGCUGUGAAAACUCGAGGCUCAACUUCGAGCUGUCGGUGGAAACUAUUUGGCUAGAGUCCGGAAGAGGAGAGUGGAAUUCCUGGUGUAGCGGUGAAAUGCGCAGAUAUCAGGAGGAACACCGAUGGCGAAGGCAGGUCUCUGGGCCACUACUGACGCUGAGAAGCGAAAGCAUGGGGAGCGAACAGG